rnacentral:rRNA from 1 species
AACGAACGCUGGCGGCAUGCCUAACACAUGCAAGUCGAACGAGACCUUCGGGUCUAGUGGCGCACGGGUGCGUAACGCGUGGGAACCUGCCCUUAGGUUCGGAAUAACUCCCCGAAAGGGGUGCCAAUACCGGAUAAUGUCUUCGGACCAAAGAUUUAUCGCCUUUGGAUGGGCCCGCGUUGGAUUAGCUAGUUGGUAGGGUAAAAGCCUACCAAGGCGACGAUCCAUAGCUGGGAUGAGAGGAUGAUCAGCCACACUGGGAGUGAGCCACGGCCCAGACUCCUACGGGAGGCAGCAGUGGGGAAUAUUGGACAAUGGGCGAAAGCCUGAAGCAGCUAUGCCGCGUGAGUGAUGAAGGCCUUAGGGUUGUAAAGCUCUUUUACCCGGGAUGAUAAUGACAGUACCGGGAGAAUAAGCUCCGGCUAACUCCGUG